ACUGGGCCGGCCGUUCACUUUAACAAGCGGGCGCCAAGCAGGCCACCAGGUGGAAGGACUCUUUGCUCCUCAGAGCAGCCAAACUCCAGUCAGCUUGGCUGGGAGUCAGUCGCCAAGAUGGGAAGCAGGCGCUGGAGCCUCACAUCUUCUGGAACAGGGGGUUAAGAGGGCCCAGAACAACAUUGCAAGGAAGAGGCGGUCCUUUUUUGCCAGAUUCUUAAAGGGACCUGCAACCCUGAAAAAGGAAAGAGCCCGUGUCAGAGAGGAAGAUGGGACGGAGAAGCCGGGGGCAUGUCCCUGCCUGGGAUGGUCCUCAGACGAUGAUUCGGGGCCCCGCCCGGCGGUCGGUGGUGGAGAAUGGUCACCUGUGAGAACGGAAUCAGACGAGGAAAGAGAGGCUCAGAGAUAAGAACUUCCCUGCCAAGUGGCACAGCUCGUCCACAGACGAGCCUGGAUUCACUGCAGUGUGUGCGGGCUGCCCCGUCCCCUUCCGCUCUUGUCCUACAUCACAGACUGGAGGAUUGACAGGGAGCCAUCUAGGUUCAUCUUCUCGGCUACCUCCAAGCCAUCCUUCAGCCUGGAAAACUCCGAACCCCACCUCCACCUUCGCAGCACCCUCCACCUACAUCUGGGGACAGCAAACUACAGCCGUGGGCCAAAUCUGGCCCAUGAACUCAGAAUGGCUUUUAUGUUUGUAUAUGAUAGACCGAAAAAAAAAAAAAAAGAAUAUUUGUGACCCUGAACAUUAUAUGAAACUCCAAUUUCAGGGUCCAUAAAUAAAGUUUUAUUGGGACACAGACACACUCAUUUGCUUCUGUAUUGCCUGUGGCUGCUUUUGGACUUCUGGGGGCAGAGUAAGAGUUAUGACAGAUACCACAGAGCCCGAAAAGCCUAAAGUAUUUACUGGCUGUCUUACUGUCAGAGGGCUAU